rnacentral:antisense_RNA from 2 species
CUUGAUCGAGCCGAGCCACAGCGGCUCAUCGUCAGUGCGGGCCUGACCGUAGGUGGCAAGCAGCGCCUGGGCCUC